CUUGUGGAGAACCAUACCAAAUCGUAGUAGCUUAGGCAAGGAGAGGUUCUAUGAAACAAGAA
rfam:[Clostridium] acidurici 9a chromosome, complete genome.